ensembl:lncRNA
CAACGACUUCGUAAGAAGUCGUGACAAACGCCUUCGCGUACUACCUUCAGGCACGGACUGAGAAGGAUGUGGAGAUUUUUGACCAGGUGAAACUGAAUAUCGACAAGGCACAGGAGAAACAGAAGGAGAGCUACCGGAGCAGAAUCAAGAAGGGGACCAAGUGCCACCGCAUCCAGGCAAAAAUGGUUACCUCGGUGGAAGCCAACAAUCUUAUCCAGUUGGAGCAGUUGGAUGGUUGACCACUGAAAGCCCUGAUGCCCUAAACUUCAGUGAAGCCCAAUAGACAAAGACCAUUGACUGUCCAAGCCCCACCAGAGCCAGUGCGUACGGAUCAGUCUGAUUCUCUGUGCUCUGAGUCGGAGGGGGACCAGUUUGAGGAUCUAGGUGUUCUGCCCAACACCCAGAUGGGGAUCCACCUGUCAUCCGUUACCAACCACCCUCCAACUUUUCAUUACAUCAGCUACAGCUACGGUUAUUGUCAUGUUGUAAUUAUCUGAUUAAAAGUUUUCUUGCACUAUCAUGCUGGGCACAUAAUAUGUGAGAUACACAGAUUACCUAAAAACACUAGCACUGCAAACACUCAGAACAAAGAGAGCAGCAGUGCCUGGACCUUGCAGUCUCCCUCUUCAAGUCUCCAUUCCGAGAUUGACCUGCCUGUUGAGAACAAGUGACAGGCGGAACCUCCGACCACGUCCUCUAUAUUCUACACAACAGAAUUCCGUAUUUUAGUCUAUGAUUGCCAUGUGUGCAAACAAAUAUGUGA